ACCCUGGAAUUGCUUUUAAAACUACAUGGCUCGAAUUCGGGAGAGGAUAGCGGAAUUCUCAGUGUAGCAGUGAAAUGCGUAGAUAUUGAGAGGAACACCAGUGGCGUAAGCGGCUAUCUGGACCGACAUUGACGCUGAGGCACGAAAGCGUGGGGAUCAAACAGGAUUAGAUACCCUGGUAGUCCACGCCGUAAACGAUGUGUGUUUGUCGCUGGGGAGUUUACUCUUCGGUGACGGAGCUAACGCAUUAAGCACACCGCCUGGGAAGUACGGUCGCAAGAUUAAAACUCAAAGGAAUUGACGGGGACCCGCACAAGCGGUGGAGUAUGUGGUUUAAUUCGUCGCAACGCGAAGAACCUUACCAGGCCUUGACAUGCCCUCUAUGGAAUCCAGAGACGGAUUUCUUCACUUCGGGUGGGAGGGACACAGGUGCUG
rnacentral:rRNA from 1 species